CAGCAGCCACGGUAAUACGUAGGGUGCGAGCGUUAAUCGGAAUCACUGGGCGUAAAGCGUGCGCAGGCGGUUGUGUAAGACAGGUGUGAAAUCCCCGGGCUUAACCUGGGAACUGCGCUUGUGACUGCACAGCUAGAGUAUGGCAGAGGGGGGUGGAAUUCCACGUGUAGCAGUGAAAUGCGUAGAGAUGUGGAGGAACACCGAUGGCGAAGGCAGCCCCCUGGGCCAAUACUGACGCUCAUGCACGAAAGCGUGGGGAGCAAACAGGAUUAGAUACCCGCGUAGUCCCUGUCUCUUAUAC
rnacentral:rRNA from 1 species